AUUGAACGCUGGCGGUAGGCCUAACACAUGCAAGUCGAGCGAGCGGCGGACGGGUGAGUAAUGUCUGGGAAACUGCCUGAUGGAGGGGGAUAACUACUGGAAACGGUAGCUAAUACCGCAUACCAUCAGAUGUGCCCCGAUGGGAUGAGCUCGUAGGUGGGGUAACGGCUCACCUAGGCGACGAUCCCUCGCUGUGUUGGGAGGAUGACCAGCCACACUGGAAAUGAGACACGGUCCAGACUCCUACGGGAGGCAGCAGUGGGUAAUAUUGCACAAUUGGCGCAAGCCUGAUGCAGCCAUGCCGCGUGUGUGAAGAAGGCCUUCGGGUUGUAAAGCACUUUCAGCGGGGAGGCGUUACCCGCAGAAGAAGCACCGGCUAACUCCGUGCCAGCCGCCGCGGUAAUUC
rnacentral:rRNA from 1 species